ACAAAGCGGCAUCAAGAACAUCCGGUCUGUUGGUUGCUGCCAAAACAAUGACACCAGAAUUCCCUGAAAAUCCAUCCAUCUCAGUCAACAACUGAUUGAUUGUCUGCUCUCUCUCAUCAUUUCCUCCUCCAAGACCAGCUCCUCUCUGUCUCCCAACAGCAUCAAUCUCAUCAAUGAAGACGAUGCAAGGAGCCUUGGAUUUGGCCUUAUCGAAUAAGUCCCUUACUCUGGAUGCACCUACUCCAACGAACAACUCCACAAACUCAGAAGCAGCGCAUGAGAAAAACGGAACCCCGGCUUCUCCCGCUACUGCUCUCGCCAAUAGAGUCUUUCCAGUACCAGGAGGUCCAACCAAUAAACAACCUUUCGGGAUUUUAGCUCCUAAAGCUGUGUACUUGUCUGGGUUCUUCAAGAAAUCGACAACCUCUUGGAGUUCUAAUUUUGCCUGGUCAGCUCCCGCUACGUCGGAGAAGGUAACACCAGUCUCUGGCACUUCCUGGAACUUGGAUUUGGAUCGUCCAAAAUCCAUGGGUCCGCCAAGCCCACCGGGGCCACCUGGACCACCUUGAGCCCGACGGAAGAGGAAGAACAAUCCAGCGAAAGCAAGGAAAGGGAAAAGCAAAUUCCCAAUAAAAUUGAAAAGCCCAUUACCGGAAUCACCCUCGGAUACCGAAAUAUCGACGCCAUUCAUGGCUAAGAUGUCGAUGAGGUCAGGGUCAUUGGGGACAAUCACGGUGGCUCUACGGCCAUCAACGGCGGUGAGUUGGAGGGCAGAACCGUCUUUGCUGAACCUGACUCUCUCCACUUUCCCCUUCUUGACUGCGUUCAAGAAUUCGCUGUACCUCCAUUGGCUGCCCUCCGGAAGAUCGGAGGAUUGAGAUUGAGGCUUGGGAGCAGUUAAGAGGAGGUUUUGGGAGAAGGGCGACUGGUUCGAUGGGCUUGGCUUCGUAGGCUGGGCUUCAAUUACAGGUGGCGGAGUGGGUGGGGCGUUGUCAACGGCUAGUGCUUGUGGGGCUACGGCAGAGAAGAGUAAGGCAGCAAGAGUGGCAUGAGAUUGGAGGGUUUUAACAGUGUGGCUAGAGUUGGGUUUCUUGUUGAGGAUAGAUUGAGUAACC
rnacentral:lncRNA from 1 species